rnacentral:rRNA from 1 species
CUACGUGCCAGCAGCCGCGGUAAUACGUAGGUCCCGAGCGUUAUCCGGAAUUAUUGGGUUUAAAGGGAGCGCAGGCGGGAGUAUAAGUCAGCUGUUAAAUAUCAGAGCCCAACUCUGUUAUGCAGUUGAAACUAUAUUUCUUGAGUACGCACAGGGAUGGCGGAAUUCAGGGUGUAGCGGUGAAAUGCUUAGAUAUCCUGAAGAACUCCGAUCGCGAAGGCAGCCAUCCGGAGCGUAACUGACGCUGAGGCUCGAAGGUGCGGGUAUCGAACAGGAUUAGAUACCCUGGUAGUCCGCACGGUAAACGAUGAAUACUCGCAGUUCGGCCGUUUAGGUCGAGUUGUCCAGCGAAAGCGUUAAGUAUUCCACCUGGGGAGUACGCCGGCAACGGUGAAACUCAAAGGAAUUGACGGGGGCCCGCGCAAGCGGAGGAACAUGUGGUUUAAUUCGAUGAUACGCGAGGAACCUUACCCGGGCUUGAAC